GAUGAACGCUGGCGGCGUGCUUAACACAUGCAAGUCGAACGAAGCAUUUCCUUUUCUUCGGAAAGGGAAAUGACUGAGUGGCGGACGGGUGAGUAACGCGUGGGUAACCUGCCUCAUACAGGGGGAUAACAGCUGGAAACGGCUGCUAAUACCGCAUAAGCGCACAAUGCUGCAUGGCAUAGUGUGAAAAACUCUGGUAGUAUGAGAUGGACCCGCGUCUGAUCAGCUAGUUGGUAAGGUAAUGGCUUACCAAGGCGACGAUCAGUAGCCGACCUGAGAGGGUGACCGGCCACAUUGGGACUGAGACACGGCCCAAACUCCUACGGGAGGCAGCAGUGGGGAAUAUUGCACAAUGGGCGAAAGCCUGAUGCAGCGACGCCGCGUGAGCGAAGAAGUAUUUCGGUAUGUAAAGCUCUAUCAGCAGGGAAGAAAAAAAUGACGGUACCUGACUAAGAAGCACCGGCUAAAUACGUGCCAGCCGCCGCCGUAA
rnacentral:rRNA from 1 species